GAAAUGCGAUAAGUAAUGUGAAUUGCAGAAUUCAGUGAAUCAUCGAAUCUUUGAACGCACCUUGCGCUCCUUGGUAUUCCUUGGAGCAUGCCUGUUUGAGUAUCAUGAAAUCUUCAAAGUAAAUCUUUUGUUAACUCAAUUGGUUUCUACUUUGGUAUUGGAGGUCUUUGCAGCUUCACACCUGCUCCUCUUUGUUCAUUAGCUGGAUCUCAGUGUUAUGCUUGGUUCCACUCGGCGUGAUAAGUUAUCUAUCGCUGAGGAAACUGUAAAAGGUGGCCAAGGUAAAUGCAGAUGAACCGCUUCUAAUAGUCCAUUGACUUGGACAAUACUUUUAUGAUCUGAUCUCAAAUCAGGUAGGACUACCCGCUGAACUUAAGC
rnacentral:misc_RNA from 1 species